rnacentral:rRNA from 1 species
AGUGGCGCACGGGUGAGUAACGCGUGGGUAAUCUGCCUCCGAAUCGGGGAUAACAUUGCGAAAGCGAUGCUAAUACCGGAUAAAAUCUGGUUGGCUUCGGUGAACCGGAUCAAAGGUGGUCUCUUUUAAAAAGCUACCGUUUGGAGAUGAGCUCGCGUACCAUUAGCUUGUUGGUGGGGUAAAGGCUCACCAAGGCGACGAUGGUUAGCUGGUCUGAGAGGAUGAUCAGCCACACCGAAACUGGAACACGGUCCGGACUCCUACGGGAGGCAGCAGUGAGGAAUUUUGCGCAAUGGGGGAAACCCUGACGCAGCAACGCCGCGUGAGUGAUGAAGGCUUUCGGGUCGUAAAGCUCCGUCAGGUGGGAAGAACCCACCAGGUGUAAACAUCACCUGGUGCUGACGGUACCACCGAAGGAAGCACCGGCUAACUCCGUGCCAGCAGCCGCGGUAAUACGGGGGGUGCGAGCGUUAUUCGGAAUCAUUGGGCGUAAAGGGCGCGCAGGCGGAUAUGUAAGUCAGAUGUGAAAUCCCGGGGCUUAACCCCGGAAGUGCAUAUGAAACUAUGAGACUUGAGUAUGGGAGAGGGGAAGCGGAAUUCCUGGUGUAGCGGUGAAAUGCGUAGAUAUCAGGAGGAACACCGGUGGCGAAGGCGGCUUCCUUGGACCAAUACUGACGCUGAGGCGCGAAGGCCUGGGGAAGCGGACAGGAUUAGAUACCCUGGUAGUCCACGCAGUAAACGUUGAAUCACUAGGUGUUAACGGGUAUUGACCCCUGCUGUUGCCGGAGUUAACGCAUUAAGUGAUCCGCCUGGGGAGUACGAUCGCAAGAUUAAAACUCAAAGGAAUUGACGGGUGCCCGCACAAGCGGUGGAGCAUGUGGUUUAAUUCGACGCAACGCGAAGAACCUUACCUGGACUUGACAUCUCGGGAAUUCCGUUGAAAGACGGGAGUGCCUUUUAACGAGGAAUCCGAUGACAGGUGCUGCAUGGCUGUCGUCAGCUCGUGUCGUGAGAUGUUGGGUUAAGUCCCGCAACGAGCGCAACCCCUAUCUUCAGUUGCCAUCAGGUGAUGCUGGGGACUUUGGAGAUACUGCCCCGGUUAACGGGGAGGAAGGUGGGGAUGACGUCAAGUCCUCAUGGCCUUUAUGUCCAGGGCUACACACGUGCUACAAUGGUAUGUACAAAGGGAAGCGAUCCCGCGAGGAGGAGCUAAUCCCAAAAAGCAUAUCAAAGUUCGGAUCGGAGUCUGCAACUCGACUCCGUGAAGUUGGAAUCGCUAGUAAUCGCGGAUCAGCAUGCCGCGGUGAUACGUUCCCGGGCCUGUACACACCGCCCGUCACACCAUGAGAGUUGGCUGUACCAGAAGUCGUUGGG